rnacentral:rRNA from 1 species
CAAAGGCUUGGUCCUGACUUUACUAUCAACUCUAACUAGAUUUACACAUGCAAGUAUCCGCACCCCUGUGAGAAUGCCCCACAGUUCCCCGCCCGGAAACAAGGAGCCGGUAUCAGGCUCAAUUUAAUCCUAGCCCACGACACCUUGCUUAGCCACACCCUCAAGGGACUUCAGCAGUGAUAAACAUUAAGCUAUAAGUGAAAACUUGACUUAGUUAAAGCUAAGAGAGCCGGUAAAACUCGUGCCAGCCACCGCGGUUAUACGAGAGGCUCAAGUUGAUAGACAGCGGCGUAAAGAGUGGUUAAGGAAACUUUUUAAACUAAAGCCGAACGCCCUCAGAACUGUGAUACGUUUCCGGAGGUACGAAGCCCCACCACGAAAGUGGCUUUAUUUUCCCUGACUCCACGAAAGCUGCGAAACAAACCGGGAUUAGAUACCCCAUUAUGCCCAGCCCUAAACUUUGAUAGACCAUUACACCCACUAUCCGCCCGGGUACUACGAGCAUUAGCUUGAAACCCAAAGGACUUGGCGGUGCUUAAUAUCCCCCUAGAGGAGCCUGUUCUAGAACCGAUAACCCCCGUUAAACCUCACCCUCCCUUGUUUUUUCCGCCUAUAUACCGCCGUCGUCAGCUUACCCUGUGAGGGACCUAUAGUAAGCAUAAUUGGUAAAACCCAAAACGUCAGGUCGAGGUGUAGCUAAUGAGAGGGGAAGAGAUGGGCUACAUUUCCUAACCCAGGAAAUACGGAUAAUGCCCUGAAACGGGUAUUAGAAGGAGGAUUUAGUAGUAAGCAGAAAAUAGAGCGUUCCGCUGAAACCGGCC